GUGUAUAUUUUGACUCCAGUAACCAAACUCCUGAAAAAUCUGUGCUAAGUGAGUUGUUUUUUUCUCAAAUUUUUAUUAUCAAACUGAUGUAC